AGUGAACGCUGGCGGUAGGCCUAACACAUGCAAGUCGAACGGCAGCACAGAGGAGCUUGCUCCUUGGGUGGCGAGUGGCGGACGGGUGAGGAAUACAUCGGAAUCUACUCUGUCGUGGGGGAUAACGUAGGGAAACUUACGCUAAUACCGCUUACGACCUACGGGGGAAAGCAGGGGACCUUCGGGCCUUGCGCGAUUGAAUGAGCCGAUGUCGGAUUAGCUAGUUGGCGGGGUAAAGGACCACCAAGGCGAAGAUCAGUAGCUGGUCUGAGAAGAUGAGCAGCCACACUGGAACUGAGACACUGUCCAGACUCCUACGGGAGGCAGCAGUGGGGAAUAUUGGACAAUGGGCGCAAUCCUGAUCCAGCCAUACCGCGUGGGUGAAGAAGGCCUUCGGGUUGUAAAGCCCUUUUGUUGGGAAAGAAAUCCAGCUGGCUAAUACCCGGUUGGGAUGACGGUACCCAAAGAAUAAGCACCGGCUAACUUCGUGCCAGCAGCCGCCGCCG
rnacentral:rRNA from 1 species